rnacentral:misc_RNA from 1 species
GAAGAAGGUAUUCUUUAGGAGAUAAUUGAGGAGGAGAUUGAAGGGUAUCAUGUCUGCAGUUAAAAGCAGAAUAAAGAAUCCCGAUCCAAGUAGGCUAACAUUCAGUAGCAAAAGAUAUUUUUCUGUCAAGGUAUUUGUGAGGGUGUAGGUCCAAACCAAAACCACAAGGGCGACAAUGCAAAGAUAUUGUGAGAUAGAAACUGCGUCAAGCACCACCUUCAAUAAGUCUCUUUUGACAACAUUAGCAUUCAUGAUCAUUUCCUCCAGGAAGGAUUCAUCUGUGUGAUUGUCACCAAAGCCAGGUUGCAUCCCACCAUAAACAACUUUUCUCCAUUUAGGAUGGGCUGGAGAAGAGCUUCCACUGAUGCUAGUUUCCAUUUGUAUCAUACAAUUUUACUCCAUGGCAUCUUUUUGUUCACAAAG